UACGGAGGGAGCUAGCGUUAUUCGGAAUUACUGGGCGUAAAGCGCGCGUAGGCGGCUUUGCAAGUCGAGUGUGAAAUCCCCAGGCUUAACCUGGGAACUGCAUUCGAGACUGCAUAGCUAGAGUAUGGGAGAGGGAAGUGGAAUUUCAGGUGUAGCGGUGAAAUGCGUAGAUAUCUGAAGGAACAUCAGUGGCGAAAAGCGACUUCCUGGACCAAUACUGACGCUCAUGUGCGAAAGCGUGGGGAGCAAACAGG
rnacentral:rRNA from 1 species